CGAAGGCUCUUGUUCGUUCGACAAAAAUUUACGAUUCUGAAACAUUUCAUUUAACGAGAAAAAAAGAUGAUGAUGAUGUGAUAGUCGUGUAUUGUAAAUAUUAAUAACGUCCAAACACCAUUUUCAUCUUUUAUUUGAAAAUGUCUUAUUUCUUGGAGAAUGCAGUUCACGGAUCUGGAAAAUUCGUCGAUCGAACGUCACUAUGACUUUUCUUCCUUUUCGUCUAUCAGAUCGAAACUCGAACGUCGUAGUGAAAGGUCAGGCAAUAUCUUACGGAGAACAACAGCGCCACGUGUUGGUAACUGUACGAGCAAGUUGGCAAUAUUACCCAUCUGGCCAGUUUAAUCCCUCUCACUUUACUCGAGAUAUCAUCGGAUAUUACGGCAUUGCGCAUUGAGAAAUUUAAUAAAGGUACGUAACUUAAUUUUCAUCGAGAAAAAUCGUCGAUCGUCGAACGAGAGCGUAUAGAUCUUUGUGUACGUAAGUAGGACGUAUUACACGUCUUUAUUACACGUCUAAGUUUCUGAUACUAUCGAAAUGAUAUACGUUGCGUUUCUACGUUUUAUAAUAUUAACAAAUGUUUAUAGAAAAAUUUAUAGAAAAAUGAAACAGUUCGAACGCGAUAACUGUAUUACAUUUUAUUUAAUGGAAUUCACCAACGAACCGCGUAUUUCAUACUAAAUCGUUUUUCGCUCAUACAAAAUCUCGUGAACAUUAUCUCUGUCGCUCUAUUUCUCUUUUCUUUUCUUCGCUUCUCUUUUCUUGAUGCAAGACGUAGGAAACGUUCCGACGUCGAUCUUGAUAUAACGUCAAGAGCAUCUCGAAAUAAAGGAAUUCACGAGGAACUACGAAAUAUUAUCGUUAUAAAAUAUUAGAUACAACCACUAAGAAACGAUCUAUUUGAAAUUUCUAGAGCAUGAAUUCAACACACUAUUCUCGUUCUUUUUCAUAAUUAUAAUGUACUCGGUAAUAUAACGUGCAAUAUAUAAUGAAGGGUUGUUGAACGGAAGCUCUCUUAAAAAAAAAUUUUUAAUAUAAAAAUUUAUAAAUGAGAACUCGAAAGAAUUCAAUUUUUUACUAGACGAACGUUUCAAUGCGAUAUUAUUGGUUUUGCCGAAAUAAAUUACAUAAUAAAAAAAAAAAAAAA